GAUAGUUAUUGUUUACAUUUCUUUCCUGAGGCUCCUCAGCUCCUCAGGAGAAAAUCCUGGCAAAAGGAUUUUUCAGAAAAUAUCAUGGCAACAAGCAGGUUUUCCUAAGGAUUCUACUAGUAAAGCAGAAACCCAGGUGUCAUUUUGAAGUCAGCACAGGGUGGGAGCAAGAAAUGACACUGUAUUCUUGAGAGACUUGCAGACCAGAAAGCACAAAAGCUGCCCAGGUUACUUUGAACUUGGACGUGGAUUCUCUUACCAGCUGUCCACCACUCCCUACUUCAGCCACAGCAUCUCUUUCAGACCAGCGCAUGGCAGAGGCACCAGGAGAUCAGAUAAUGAGUGUGAAGACACAAUACACAGCUCCACAGGUGACUUUGUCUGCGUGCUUCUAUCCCAGAGUCAGGAGAAGAGAUCAUUCCCACCCUGGUCUGUCAACAAAAGUUCCAGGGAUAUCUGUUGUCAUUUUCUGAUGGCAGCAUGUGUCCAGUGGGGAUCUGUGGGCAUCAUUUAGUGCUUCCAGGUGGUUUUGUUGGUUUGUGUCAAGGCUGAAGCUGUAGAGGCAGAAAUUUAGUCAGUGUUCCCUUUUGACCAUAGUUUAUUUAUUGGGUAAAUUUCUUUCACUUAUUUGCUGGAAAAGUAAAACAACCAAGGAUCAUUUAGGGAUUUUUUUUUUUUCAGGUUGCUUUUACAGCAUCUUCCUGAUGGUAAAAUAUUGAUUUAGGGGGUAUGAAGUGAUAGUCUGCUGAAAAGCAACAGCACCAUUCUUUCAAUGCAAAAGCUGUAAAAGCAAAAAUCGUUGAUCUUCCUUUUAUAAAAUGUGAGAUAAUUCCUUUCAUAACAACACCUUGCAUCAGGCUCCUGUGGCUUCCCCCAUUCAAUCUGAAUUUUUAAGCACUAAAGAAAUCUCAUUAUUGAGAAGUAAACUAGCAGCUCCCUGGCAAAAUGGUCACAGCAGUGUGAAAUAGAGCCUGUACCACAUUCAGCAGCCAGUUCGAGAAUAUUCUCAUCAUUUAUCCAUGAGGCUCAUGAUGCUUAAAUGCCACCUACAGCAGAGCUCCUGAUCUGGCAACCCUUCUGCUUCCCCUUUUUGCCUUUAAUAAAGCAAAGAUUAAAAGGCUUACAGGAGCUAUUACUGUGAAAGUCAUGUUUCCCCCAAGUGUCCCUUGCAAUGACACAGGGAAGAUGAAUUCUAUGAGAAUUCUUAACUCGUUGGGCUUGGAUGUUUAGGUUUCAGCAACCCCCAAAAAUGUUUAAAUAUGUCUCUGAACUCUGAGGUUUUCUUCUUGAUACCAUGCCAGCCAUUGUAGCUUUCCAUUCAUUCCCACCUCCCCUUCAACCCAACUUACUAGUUAUUUAAAUUUUUUUCCUGUUCUUUCUCUCAAUUUCCCCAAUGUGCCUUUUAACCCAUCUCAUUUACCUCAGAUUGCAAUCAGAUUUUCCUUUUUUCCACAUUCCAGCAGCACCCCACUGUUAUUUUGAUCAUUCAAACAGAAGAAUUUAAAGAUCCUGCUUUGACUUUUCUCUCAGUCUAAUUAGGUUUAGACUUGGUUUUAAAUGUUCAUUUGUAGAAGGCUUGUAAACAGUACUUUAAAAGGUUCUUUCAAGGCAUUUAGUUCUCUUUUUCUGUGAAGAGAAAUGUGUUACAUAAGCAGUUUAGCAUAAGGGGAGUCAGAAAGUAAGUGGAUGGGGAAUUCCUGAGACCUGUAGAACAAAGGUAUCUAAUGGGAGGUUACUUCGAAGAAAAUCUGGGAAAAAGAGAAAACCUGGGGGAAUACCAUGAGGAAUACCUUGCCCAAUUAAUUCCUACAUGCCUGCAAUUCUGUGCAUAGAAGGAUCCUGCACACAGAAGGAUCCUGUGCACAGGAUUACACAGCUGCAGUGUUUACACACCGGGGACACAUGGGGACACCCUCUUGCUAAGACUUUAUUGAGACCCCUGAUCGGGAAGAAGGAGUAUGUUAAAAAUGGGUCAGGACUUUUGGGCUGCACAGAAAUAGCUAUUUAAAAUAUUGAAGAAUGUCAUUGUAUUGGUGGUAUGGCUCAGUGAGGGAGCUGAUCAUGGUUGUAUUUUCAGAAAAAACAAAUUAAGGAAGAGGGUACAUGCCCAUGGAGGAGCUGUAAGUCAGCAGUUGGUGAGAGGAGAUAGGAAAUGCUUUUUGCUCUCAGCAGUUACAGGUUUAAAAGCUCUGGGGAUAGACACAGAACAGGAGCCUUAUUCAGUCCUCCAUGCCAAAUUCAGUUUUUCUUUCUGCCAGAGACAUCUGAGAGCUUUCCUGCUUUCUAUCCCCUUCCAUAUGAACACACACACACAGAUGAACACACUGACUUGCUCUCUCCCUUCCAGGCUCCCACAUAUCUUUGAAGGCUUUACUUAUCUGUGUACUUUCAGAACUGAAGCAGUUCUGAUACCUGAAAGCUUAUUCAGUUUGUUGCAUUCUAAUUUUGACCUUUUGCUGCUUACUGCUGUUCCCUGAAAGCAGCACACAACACCCCUUAAAAGAUAUAUUUCUGCUAAGGACAUAGACAUAUUCAGGGGAAAAUUUUGAGUUAUUACUGAUUAGUGAUAAAUGUCCCACUCUGUAAAUGUGUUUUUCCCCCCAGGAGAUGAUGCAGUGACACCAUGUCUGUGUAUUCCUUGAAAAGUGUGUGCAGAGCCUAUGUCUGUGUGUUUAGGGAAAGCAUUGGCACACUUGGAAAUCAUGAAUGAGUACCAGGAAUUUUCUCUGAGGGUCAGUAGGCUGAACUGAAAAACAUCAUUCAGAUACUUUCUAGGAGAGGAAAAGGUGCCUUGAGGAUGAUAUUUGAAUUCAUUGUCUCCUAACAGGGUUGAGGAAACACCCUAGUUCUCUAGUCUGAUAUGCUAAAAGGCCUUUUGCUCCUGGUAAAAUUUGUCAUUUCUGCUUAGCUUUUCUAUUUAUAGAGUCAAGAAAGGCCUUAUCUGCACUCCCAGUUGUGGGAAGGUGGACUAGAUGGCCUCAUAAAAUUUAUUUUUUAGCUCUAUUUGGGUUUUAAUGUGAAUAUGCAUAUAGAAUUUUUACAUCACAAGUACUAACAUACAAAUAGAAAUAAAAGCUUUGCUGCAUUCAGUUUUCUUAUUUUUACAUGGUAGUGAAAUCACAAGGAGGUGAUCUACUAAGCAGCCAGAAUAAAGUUUCUGGAUGAUAUUAGUCUUGUCCUCUAAAAUGGGUGUAAAUGCCUUUUGCACUUUCUAGGAGUGAAUAGGGAAUAUACAUGUCAAAACAAUGCAAAACCCAAGUUGUGCAGCUGUUGACAUUCUGUUCAGCUGAUUAACUACAUCUCCUCAUCCAGCAUCAACUUCCAACAAGUUUCACAAGCUGGACAAUGAUAAACAGUGAGGGGGGGGAAAGAAGGCUGAUAAUUUCUCCCAUAAUUGCCUCCUGCAAUCUCAGAGAGCAAAAGAGAAAUGAAGCCUUAAAUAGCAAGAAAGAUUUGUCCAACUGUGCAAGAUCAGAGCAUUGAUUCAGCUUUGAUUGGGCUCCCCACUGCUUUCUUUUUGUUAUUUAUGUCAGGUUAACCUCUCAUUUUCAGCAAUGACAUCUGUUCUCUACUCAUUUCAGGGAACAUUCCGUGGUUUUCAUUUUGUCAGCUGCUUUUACUUCUUCUGAUUACUUUGGCGCAAAGCUGCUGGGGUGGGGUUUUUUUGGAUAAUGACUAAUUGGAAAUGAAUGUGCUUGCUUUGAGAUAGGACACACUAUAAGGUGCAGUAUGUUCCAUAUAACCUACCAAACGUGUACAAGAUGGAACCAAAACCAUCAGGACCUAAUGGAGGAAGCAAAGACAGAGGAGAGAACAGGCCAAGCACCUGAGAGCACUGAGGUGGAAGCUCCCAGACCUGUGAGCAGGUCCGUUCCACAUGAGGAAAAUGCAAUUGUGGAGUAUCAUGGAGAUGCACAAAACAGGGAGGUGGAGCAUCACUCUCAGUUGUCUUAGCAGAAUCCUAUGUCCACUUGAUGCUAGAAUCUGCUUCUGGUCAUCACUUAGUCCAAUGAGGUCUGACAGCUCUAUUUCUGAAUUUAAAUUGGUUGCUCUCAGUGUGCAUGGGGUCUGUUUUCAAAGGAAGCAUUUCUAAGACCAUUGGCUGAGUCUCCUCUCCUCUCCUCUCCUCUCCUCUCCUCUCCUCUCCUCUCCUCUCCUCUCCU